rnacentral:lncRNA from 12 species
AUGACGUCUCUUUUCUCUAUUCCCAAUCAUAAAUUGGAGCCCGUGUCAGAAACUCAGAGCCUCUCACAUCUUAUGUUUGUGUGGGAGUGGAGUCUGCUUGCCAGGACACUUGAGAGGGGCCAGAGUUAUACAGGAAGACAUACAGGUGGUUGGUAUCCGGUCCGAGAUUGUGCACAAGAGAGGGACCCCAGCUUCCUGAUACUUCUACCACAGAGUGUUUCUGCUCUCAGGAUAACUAAGGAAGCUCCUUAUUUAAAGGUAUACUUGGGUAAAUUGCUUUGUAAAGUAGAUACUUUUAUAUGCAGUUGCCUCUUAAUUUUUACACUUCUGUUAGAUUUCUUAAAGUGAGGACACACAUAACAUAGCCUUAGAAUGCAUAUGUUGGACAUUUAAUUUUGAACAUAUUUAGACUUGUGAGAGCAACUUAUCCUUUCUAUUUGUUGAACUAUUUCUCAGUUUAUUUAAGUGUAGACUUUUUUAUUAUGGUAAAAUAUAUAUAACAUAAGGUUUACUAUUUUACCAUUUUUAAGUGUACAGCAUGGUGGCAUUAAGUAAUCUGUGCAACCAUUACCACUAUCCAUUUCCAAAACUUUUUCAUCAUCCCAUACAGAAACUCUACCUACUAAACAAUAAUUCCCCACUCCCCUGCCCUUCAGUUCUGGUAACCUCUAUGUCCUGUCCCCAUGAAUUUGCCCAUCCUAGGUACUUCAUAUAAGUGGAAUCAUGAGUCAAAUAUGCCCUUUUGUAUCUGGCUUAUUUCACUUAGCAUAAUAUUUUCAAGGUUCAUCCAUGUUGUAGCAUGUAUCAGGAUGUCAUUCGUUUGUAAGUCUGAAUAAUAUUCCACGGAAUGUUUAUACCACAUUUGUUUAUUCACUUACCUGUUUAUGGACACUUGGUUUAUUUUCACCUUUUGGCUAUUGGGUUGCUAUGAGCAUUAGUAUACAAAUAUCUGUUUGGGCCCCUGCUUUCAAUUUGUUUGGGUAUAUAUAUGUACACCUAGGAAUAGAAUUGCUGAAUCAUAUGGUAAUCCUGUUUAAUGCUUUGAGGAGCUGCCAAACUGCUUUUCAUAGUAGCUAUACCAUGUAGUUAAGUAUGACUUUAAAACUUAUUCUAUCAUAGUUGUGACCUCAUUCAAAUAAAUGAUUCAGAUAGAAGACA